rnacentral:rRNA from 1 species
AGAGUUUGAUCAUGGCUCAGGAUGAACGCUGGCGGCGUGCUUAACACAUGCAAGUCGAACGGAGCUAUGACACGGAGUCUUCGGACGAAGUGCUGUAGCUUAGUGGCGGACGGGUGAGUAACACGUGAGCAACCUACCUUUUGCAGGGGAAUAACUCUGGGAAACCAGAGCUAAUACCGCAUGUCGUGCACAUGGGGCAUCCCAGGUGCAUGAAAGGAGCAAUCCGGCAGAAGAUGGGCUCGCGUCCGAUUAGGUAGUUGGAGAGGUAAUGGCUCCCCAAGCCGACGAUCGGUAGCCGGACUGAGAGGUCGAUCGGCCACAUUGGGACUGAGACACGGCCCAGACUCCUACGGGAGGCAGCAGUGGGGAAUAUUGGGCAAUGGGCGGAAGCCUGACCCAGCGACGCCGCGUGAAGGAGGAAGGCUUUCGAGUUGUAAACUUCUUUGGGGAGGGACGAAGAUGACGGUACCUCCAGAACAAGCCACGGCUAACUACGUGCCAGCAGCCGCGGUAAUAC